ensembl:lncRNA
UUUCAAAUGUAAUUCCCCUCCACAUGAUUAAUUUACCUUCAUGUUUUUUAUUUUUAACAUUUUUGUUUUCACAAUUCAUUUCACAAUUUUUUUCACCUGAAAUUUUUCAUGUUGUUUACAUUUUUCUGAAAUUAUUUCUCUCAUUUUUAACACGAGACAUUUUAUUUCUUUUCUUCUCACAUUUCAUUUUCUUGUGUGUCUGUUUUCAUGUGUGGUGGGUGUAUUUACAUUUUCACAUUAAACUUGUACAUUUAUUUUCACAUCUUUUCCCCCCAUGUUCGUGUUUGUGUAGUGUUGUGCGGUGUAGUGUUGUGUAUGUGUUUGUGUAGUGUAGUCUAUGUUGUUGUGUAGUGUAAUGUAGUGUAGGUUAGUGUAGUGUUGUGUAGGUUAGUGUAGUGUAGUGUAGUGUAGUGUAGUGUAGUGUAGGUUAAUGUAGUGUAGUGUAGUGUAGUGUAGGUUAGUGUAGUGUAGUGUAGUGUAGUGUAGUGUAGUGUAGUGUAGUGUAGUGUAGUGUAGUGUAGUGUAGUGUAGUGUAGUGUAGUGUAGUGUAGUGUAGUGUUGUGUAGUGUAGGUUAGUGUAGUGUAGUGUAGUGUAGGUUAAUGUAGUGUAGUGUAGUGUAGUGUAGUGUAGUGUAGUGUAGUGUAGUGUAGUGUAGUGUCUGUGU